rnacentral:tRNA from 2 species
GGAGAGGUGCCGGAGUGGUUGAACGGGGCGGUCUCGAAAACCGUUGUGGGCGCAAGUCCACCGAGGGUUCGAAUCCCUCUCUCUCCGCCA